rnacentral:rRNA from 1 species
UACGGGGGGAGCAAGCGUUGUUCGGAUUUACUGGGCGUAAAGGGCGCGUAGGCGGUCAGCACAAGUCAGUUGUGAAAUCUCCGGGCUUAACUCGGAACGGUCAACUGAUACUGCGCGGCUAGAGUGCAGAAGGGGCAACUGGAAUUCUCGGUGUAGCGGUGAAAUGCGUAGAGAUGUGGAGGAACACCGAUGGCGAAGGCAGCCCCCUGGGUCAAGAUUGACGCUCAUGCACGAAAGCGUGGGGAGCAAACAGG